AAUCAACGCUGGCGGCGUGCCUAACACAUGCAAGUCGAACGCGAAAGUCCCGCAAGGGAUAAGUAGAGUGGCAAACGGGUGAGUAACACGUGGGUGACCUGCCUUCGAGCGGGGGAUAACGUCCCGAAAGGGACGCUAAUACCGCAUAAUAUGCCGCCUUUUAACAGGUGGACAUCAAAGCUGGGGAUCGCAAGACCUAGCACUUGAAGAGGGGCCCGCGUCUGAUUAGCAGUUGGUGGGGUAAUGGCUCACCAAGGCAACGAUCAGUAUCCGGCCUGAGAGGGCGGACGGACACACUGGGACUGAGACACGGCCCAGACUCCUACGGGAGGCAGCAGUGGGGAAUUGUUCGCAAUGGGCGCAAGCCUGACGACGCAACGCCGCGUGGAGGAUGAAGACCU
rnacentral:rRNA from 1 species